rnacentral:tRNA from 1 species
GGGCCCUUAGCUCAGUUGGUUAGCAGCACUUGACUCAUAAUCAAGGGGUCGUUGGUUCAAGCCCAACAGGGCCCA